rnacentral:lncRNA from 1 species
GUUCUUUAUCUGGUUGCCGGUGUAGUCGUUGGUGGCCUUCAGCUCGCACAUGUAGACCCCCUCAUCGCUGGUGGUGAAGCUGUGCAGGUAGAGGCACACCAGGUUCUUGUGCAUGGUGACGUUGGCUCGGUUCCGGUAGACGUUCUCGGAGACGCUGAUGGUGCUUUGGAUGAUGUGCUUCCUGUUGUCCUUGGUGAGGCUGAAUUCGUAGGUCAGGGGGUUGCUGGUCUUGUUCUCAUAGCGGCAGUCCACGCGCAGGCUCUGGCCCAGCAGGCAGGCGCUCAGGUCCCGGAUCAUCUGGCAGUGCGCAGCCUGCAGCACUGUCAGGAUGACAGCAAUGCUGACGGUGGGGUUCAUCUUUUCGAGGACGAGAUGCCCAGAGGUGGCUGCCAACGAGAGAUGAGCCUGCGGCGCGGUGCCGCUGCCCGCUGCUCCCGGCGCUGCCGCCCGCUGCUGCCCGCGGCUCC